rnacentral:rRNA from 1 species
UACGUAGGGGGCAAGCGUUGUCCGGAUUUAUUGGGCGUAAAGAGCGUGUAGGCGGCCAGAUAGGUCAGCUGUGAAAACUCGAGGCUCAACCUCGAGACGUCGGUUGAAACCAUCUGGCUAGAGUCCGGAAGAGGAGAGUGGAAUUCCCGGUGUAGCGGUGAAAUGCGCAGAUAUCAGGAGGAACACCGGUGGCGAAGGCGGUUCUCUGGGCCUUACCUGACGCUGAGGAGCGAAAGCGUGGGGAGCAAACAGG